rnacentral:rRNA from 1 species
AUACGUAGGGGGCAAGCGUUAUCCGGAUUUACUGGGUGUAAAGGGAGCGUAGACGGCACUGCAAGUCUGGAGUGAAAGCCCGGGGCUCAACCCCGGGACUGCUUUGGAAACUGUGGUGCUAGAGUGCAGGAGAGGUAAGUGGAAUUCCUAGUGUAGCGGUGAAAUGCGUAGAUAUUAGGAGGAACACCAGUGGCGAAGGCGGCUUACUGGAAUGUAACUGACGUUGAGGCUCGAAAGCGUGGGGAGCAAACAGGAGUAGAUACCCUGGGAGUCCACGCCGUAAACGAUGAAUACUAGGUGUUGGGGAGCAAAGCUCUUCGGUGCCGCCGCUAACGCAAUAAGUAUUCCACCUGGGGAGUACGUUCGCAAGAAUGAAACUCAAAUGAAUUGACGGG